GGGGAAGCAGGGGAGGGAAAAAGUAGGGGGCGAGCGUUGUUCGGAUUCACUGGGUGUAAAGGGCGCGUAGGUGGUUGUCUGUGUCUCAUGUGAAAACUCAGGGCUCAACUCUGAGAUUGCGUGGGAAACUAGGCAGCUAGAGGACGGUAGAGGGGAGUGGAAUUCCCGGUGUAGCGGUAAAAUGCGUAGAUACCGGGAGGAACACCGGUGGCGAAGGCGGCUCUCUGGGCCGAUCCUGACGCUGAGGCGCGAAAGCUAGGGUAGCGAACCGGAUUAGAUACCCGGGUAGUCCUAGCCGUAAACGAUGGGUGCUAGGUGUUGGGGGGUAAAGACCCUUCAGUGCCGAAGCUAACGCGAUAAGCAUCCCACCUGGGGAGUACGGCUGCAAGGUUGAAACUCAAAUAAAUUGGCGG
rnacentral:rRNA from 1 species